GCAGGGCUUCAGAGCCGCGCAGGCAGGGGCAUGGGUGGGCGUGGCUGCGUCUUAUAGGCUGAGCCACUGGCUGUGCCCCUGAGCUGAGCUGGGUGAGUACUCUAGGCAUUCCUGGCAGAGGAUACAGCAGGAGCAAAGGCCUGGAGGCUAAAAAUAGCUUGCGGGCAGGGGAGCUACCAGCAGUUCAGUGCUUCUGGAGUUUAAAGAGCCCGGCGAGGGUCAUGUCAGAUGACGCCGGUCCACGAGAAGGAGGGUGGAUUAUAUCCUUAGAGACGCCAUAGAGUGAGGAUAUAAUGGCUCUGUAACAAGCAUAAACUGUGAUGGUCUGGGAUGCCCUCGUCAUAGACAGCCCCUGGAGAGUCAUAGAGUCUCACUCUGUCGCCCAGGCUGGAGUGCAUUGGCACGAUCUCAGCUCACUGCAACGUCCGCCUCCCGGGUUCAAGAAGGUCCACAGAAAACAUCCUGGGGUCCUGAGCUGAAGUGUGAUGGGAGGAGUCCUCUGUAUCUCAGUCUGAUCCUGGUCUCCCUCUCGGCCAUGGUCUCACACUAGUGCUGCUGGGAAACCAUCCCUCACAUCCAGUCCUGGCAUCGGGCAGUGACUCUGGUCCAACUGUUGUCCAACUCAAGGGUUUAGCUGCUUAGAUUUUCCUAAAACUUGAAUUUCAUUUUCCUCUAGCCAUGGAAUACAGAUUAAUCCUUUACAAUUAAAAUCCAAGUUCAGAUUUUAUUUGUUGUGGUUUUUAAUUAAAAUCUCACCAGCACUUUGUGGAUUUUUUUUUUCUUAGAAAGGCAAACACACUGUGCGUAUCAGUCAGCCUGGACUGCCAUCACAAAAUACCAUAGACUGUGUGUCUUAAAACAACAGAAAUGUAUUUUCUCACAGUUCUGGAGGCUGGAAGUUCAAGGUCAAUGUUCUGGAUGAUUUGGUUUCCAGUGAGGCCUCUCUUUCUUGCUUGCAGAUGGCUGCCAUUCUUCUGUGUCCUGUAGGGAAGUUCAAACUUUUCCUCUGAAGGUUUGAACAAACUGACAAUAUGCAGACUAAUAGGAGGAAGAAAGGCAUUCAAAGUUGCUAAUGUGCAUAAGCACAAGGCCACAGAAAAUAUGAGAUUCAAAGGAGCACCAGGCGCCUGAGGCUUAAAUACCCUCCUCAUAAGGGAGAGGGAAAUGGGGUUGUAGGCAAUUGCGAGGGGCAGUAAAUGACUUUCAGUAAACGCAUGAGCCCAAAGAACAAUGUCCUGGGACAAAGUUCCCCUCUGCUCUGGAGGACGUGGUGGGAAGGUGAGGGGUGGAACUUCACUGUGCACAAAGGUUGUCUAAUUAUGCAGAUAGAGUCUCCCAGGUGAUGUCUCCAGCUGCCCUCAG
rnacentral:lncRNA from 1 species